CUACGGGCUGCAGCAGUCGAGAAUCUUCCGCAAUGGGCGAAAGCCUGACGGAGCAAUGCCGCGUGCAGGAUGAAGGCCUUCGGGUCGUAAACUGCUGUCACCGGGGAUGAAUAAUGACAGUACCCGGGGAGGAAGUCACGGCUAACUACGUGCCAGCAGCCGCGGUAAUACGUAGGUGACAAGCGUUGUUCGGAUUUAUUGGGCGUAAAGGGUUCGUAGGAUGUUGAUUAAGAUUGGUGUGAAAUCCCAAGGCUCAACCUUGGAACUGCAUUGAUUACUGAUGAACUAGAGUGUCGUAGAGGAAAGCGGAAUUCCAGGUGUAGCGGUGGUAUGCGUAGAUAUCUGGAAGAACACCGACAGCGAAGGCAGCUUUCUGGGCGAUAACUGACUCUGAGGAACGAAAGCAUGGGGAGCAAACAGGAUUAGAUACCCGCGUAGUC
rnacentral:rRNA from 1 species